GAGCAUGUCUUCAAGUUUUUCAUUUAUUUUUAUGUAUAACAGAAACUGAUAAGAAUUGUAGUUGAAAGGGAGAAAAAUGAUGAGUGCAGAAUAAAAGUUUGUUCCUGAGAUUCCCUUUGCAGCAGCACAAGCUGCAAUCAUUUUGACAGAGGAUUUAAAGAGACACGGAAAAGGAAUGUGGGAAGUAUUUUUCCCUCCAGUUCUUUUUAACACAAGAAAGAAAACUGGUUUCUAUGCUAGAAUUUUUUUUUCAGCUAUUCUUUUCUUGAUUUUUAAUCAAAAGAAUUAAGAAAAUAAGUCUGAAAAACUGAGAGGAGGAAUUGCUUGCCCUGUUUUAAAACAUUUUGGUUUUUUGCAUUGCCUAUUGUUGCAUCAUGUCCUCUCAAAUACAUUGUCAGGUAGCUGAGGAAAAACAGUCUAAUGAUUGGUUUCACUGCUGAAGGCCAAAUAUUCCCUAUGAAGGACAUGCUGAAACCUCCCCCAGCACCUGACAUUUGGAUAUGUUCACAGUGGUAAUAACAUCCAAGACUUUGUUUUAUUUGUUGAGGGAAAAUGUUACUCAGUAAUAUUCUGUCCUUCAUGCUUUACUUACAUAUUUGAAGAAGGAAUCAAAUAACCAGUAUAAAGAGCCUGCACUAUCUGUAUAAAAAUUACAAGUGUUUACCUGGCUUUUCUUACUGUCCUUCAGCAGGUGUUAGGUGCCUGGAUUUCUGUCAGCUGCCUUGGGUAAAAAGGGUCAGCUGUGAGCAGCCUAUCCUGAGCAGGCCUCAUGAGCAUUACAUUGGCUGCUGCCUUCUGUUUCUGAGGAGAGAACAUGCUAGACUGGAUUCAGCUGAGAUGGCAGGUGUUCAGAGUUAAUGAAAAGAAAGCAAUCAACCAGCAAACAUUCAUCAUACAAGUCUGGUACAAACUGGGACUGAGAAGCCCGUUGCACAAGGAAGCAGGCAUCCAUGUUUCUCACAGCCCUUGCAUAAAGAUAAAUUGCUACCUGGAAGAGUCCUCUGAAUGACGGCCAGCAUCCCUAGAGUGUGGGCAAGUGUGGGAAAGGUGAGGCUGCCUGGACAACGUGCAGGCAUAAGAAGAGUUGCAUCACCCAUGCUGUCUUGCAGAUGUUGCCCACUCUGUACUGCACCCAAUGUGGGAUACACUGUCUUAGAGAGCCCCAUGUCCUGAGGUCACACUGUGCCUGUGCUGUGCUUCUCAGGGAAGGGAAAUUUUGCAGCUUUGCUACUAGAAUUUUCUGUGAUUUACUGAUGUUCUGUCAAGGAAAAUUA
ensembl:lncRNA